UUCACCGUCAGUUACUCUUUCAGGUCAACUAACUUUAUCGAAAGGGAACUGCAUCUGUGUACUUGAACAGAGUAAGCAUUGCAUUUCAAUAAAAGCUCUACUAUGACUUUAGAGUGAUCAAAUGGUAAGCUGG